AUUGAACGCUGGCGGCAGGCCUAACACAUGCAAGUCGAGCGGAUGAAGGGAGCUUGCUCCUGGAUUCAGCGGCGGACGGGUGAGUAAUGCCUAGGAAUCUGCCUGGUAGUGGGGGAUAACGUCCGGAAACGGGCGCUAAUACCGCAUACGUCCUGAGGGAGAAAGUGGGGGAUCUUCGGACCUCACGCUAUCAGAUGAGCCUAGGUCGGAUUAGCUAGUUGGUGGGGUAAAGGCCUACCAAGGCGACGAUCCGUAACUGGUCUGAGAGGAUGAUCAGUCACAUUGGAACUGAGACACGGUCCAGACUCCUACGGGAGGCAGCAGUGGGGAAUAUUGGACAAUGGGCGAAAGCCUGAUCCAGCCAUGCCGCGUGUGUGAAGAAGGUCUUCGGGUUGUAAAGCACUUUAAGUUGGGAGGAAGGGCAGUAAGUUAAUACCUUGCUGUUUUGACGUUACCAACAGAAUAAGCACCGGCUAACUUCGUG
rnacentral:rRNA from 1 species